AUGUACAUUCAAGUUGGUAAGUUGUCAACUUCUUUUCUACUGUUUUGGUCCAGCACCGCAACUGCUAACUGGCCUAGGAAUAAAAUUUGCACGGUUUGCUUUCUGCUGAUGACCAUUUUAAUACAUAUAGAAACCAAUACGUGAAAAAACACAAUGUUGUCAUAAGCCUGUAUCUACCUAUUAUAAUCUCUUGUUGCAAAAUUACCAUGACUGCCUUCUAUAAAUGGGCCAACUCUGAGCCUCCCGACAAUGAAGUUCUGAGUAAAAAUGAGUGUUCACUUCCCAAAAUUUGAAGUUAUCCUUUCCUUUUUUGAGAAUUUGUAUUUCUUGCUUCUUCGCAUCCAUGUAUACAUAACAAAUAUGUUGAGAGUUCGUUAUGAUAUCAGUUCUUUUGGUAAAUCAUGGUCUGGUGGAUGCAAAGGACUGUUUUGCAAGUUUAUAUUUUCCCACAGAUUUUGUUUGUUUUGCAGUAUGUCAACCAGUUCUGUUGUUUUAGGAGCAGUACUCCAGCCACAUUUAAUUUGAGCCUUCUGUAUUUUUUUUCCUUUUUUGUUCUUUUUCUUGAAUGGCUAUGAUAAUUCUGAUGUCCCUUGGAUGGUUUUUGAAACUAUCUUAUUUGGUGCUGGGUCAGUUUGCUUGUUUCAAUUGCUAUUUGACUUGAUAAUUUCAUUCUUCUAUUGUACUCUUUAUCUACUUAUCAGUUUGUACUUUUGGUUUCUCUUUACUUCUUUACUGGUUUCAACUUAAGGGUCGUAUAGGGCAAGUUCAGCUGUCAAGAUUACUGUUUUUGUGUGUCAUGUUCAUGAAUGGCUGUGAUGGUAUAACCUCCCUGUGAGAGCUUCUAUCUAACACCUGAAUUGAUUUACUUGGUGCUAAACUAGGAUGGCUUGUGUCACAGCAAGUAACCAGUGUAGCGGCUAGCUAUUGCUCCCUAAAGGGCAGCCCGGUGCAGGUGCUUGCGCAGGGCUGUUUCCAGGACUCGAACCCAUGACCUCAAGGUUACAAGGCUACAGCUUUACCGCUGCGCCAAGGCUCCCCUUCUUAACUGUUACUCCCUCCGUUCACAAAUAUAAAUGUUCAUGGUCAUUCUACCAGAAACUCAGUUAUAGUGUUGAGAUCGGAGUGUAUCUGAGCCAUUUACUUAUACAUGUCCCAGUUUUUGUGUCCACCAGUUCAUGACUUGCUCCUGAUAUAGUGAUUCUUUCUGCUUUUACUGAUUCUCCUGUGGUUUCUGGUCAUCUUGCGCUCUUUGACUAUUGGCUUCUCUGUUAUUCUCUUUGUGGGAUUUGCGCCAAAGUGCUGUUGAUGGCGAUGAUGAGUAAGGCUCAUUCAGAGGUGUAUUGAGAUCAGAUACCAUCAAUUGUAUUUAUGGUAUGUGUUAGGGUUAGGGUUUUGUGCGACUAGGUGGAAGCGUGCAAAUCGGGAUGGCUUGCUUUCUGUGAGCAACCAUUUGAAUGCUGAAAUGUCACACGGGUGUAAGGGCAUCUGCAACGCGGAUCACCAAGUGUAUCUGAUAUAGAGUGGGUUUUGCCCAUAUGAACGCGUUGGAUAUUGCGUGCCUACAUGCUUACUCCGAGGGCCCACAGGGGCUCUGCCUAAUCUGCAGCACUCCUCCCCUAUUUCUAUGUUUGCCUCUUGUGUGUUGCCCUCUUUCUAUGCACCGUUGAUAUUUCCAGUAGUAUGUGAUUUGAACUUCAGUGUACUCUACAUCUUGUUCUCCUAUGUCUGUUAAUUCCUUAGCUUUCAGUGGGUAAUUUUUAAACUACUACUUCCUUUAACGACAUAAUUUUCAUGAAAUGUAUAGGAAUAAAACCAGCCGCCUAGAAAUCUUGUUAUUAGAUAAUCACAAGCUACAAGAGUAUGAACUAGCACCUUGAUAUCACCAUGAAAUACUUCCAAGUCUGAUGAGUUAUGAUGAUGUACUCUGGUGAGGUAAUGACAAGUAUGCCUUGAGCAGCAAUGAAGCUUUUUUAUAUGUCCGCCCUUCUCUGUACUGAUGCAUGUUCAAGUCAUAUAUACGGUGCUGUAGUUCACAUGGUCAAUCUGAUAACAUGCUCGUAAUAUUUGGAUGCAACCGAGUGAGUGCAUAUGAGCAUUAAGAUGGCGAGAAUAUUAAGUUAAGCAAUGCCUUGACCGCGACGACAUGAGAAAACUGUUUUGCUAAAGCACGUCUAAAUAUAGUUUAAGCAUUGCACAUCUAAAUUCUCCGCCAUUGGUUUUUAUGGAGAUUUGCGGGGAAAAUGCACCGCCACGACACGGGAGGACACGUGCACUCUGUCUAUUUCUAGUGCGCUAGUCGCCACUCCACUGACAGUUGCAUGCCUGCCUCCCCUCAAGGCUCAAGCUGCCUUCAUCCUUCCCCUCCCCUCGCCUACAACUACCCCCCGCUCUCAUUCCCUUCCCCUCCCCCUCCCAUGCAUCGUCGGAGUAUUAUUUUUGCUCCCUAUUUACAGCAUCUACACCCGGACCUGGACCCGGAUCUGGCUCGGACCAGUCCGGGUGCGAGAGGCCACCGGCGGCGGAGCAUGCAACGCGAGCGCUCUAACCAUAUCUCACCGAAUCCUGCCGCCGCGCGCGUCCCGCUCGCCGUGGCCGAUGACGCGUCCCUCCCCAGACGGCGGCGAUGAUGGAGGGAGCCGCCGGCGCCGGCCAGGCUACCGAGCGGCGGACGCGCCGGGUCGCCGCUCCCCCGGGGCCAGCCCCUCCCGCCCCGCCGUCGCGCAUCGGCUCGGAGGCCCCUCGGGGCUGCGGCCGUGCGGGCUGGGGACCGAGCGGCGGGGCCCGUGGUGCGCUCCGGUCGAGGGAUUGGUCGGGCCGGCGCGGGAUCUGAGCCGCCGUCCAUGGAUUUCUCGCACCUUGGCUGCGUUUCGCUUUGGAUCCGGUACGGUCCCCCCAUCUCUCUCUCUUUCUCAGACUCUCACACCAGUAAAUCCUAAACCGAAUCAGCCGAGCUCUCGUUGCCGCCUCAGUUCAGUUCCCCAGCGCUGCUACGGUGCCGCCAGCCACCGCCAUUCCAUUGCCUUGGAUUCGGUUGAGGCGUCGGCUGGGAACCGUAGGAUGACGCAUCGCCUGAUGCGUCGUCCGUGCGGGAGGUUCGGUCGAGGCCAGGCAUGAGCAGCUCCUGAGAAGGAUGGAUGAAUGGAUGCAUACAUGUGUCGUGAACUGAACCACGACACUUAGUUCGGAACGGAGGGAGUAUGUUUUUACACCAAAUCAGGCGAGCUCUCGUUGCCGGAUCGCUGACCUAUCGUCCCGAUGUCCGCCGCGUCAGUUCCCCACCGCUACGGUGCCGCCAGCCGACGCCGUCCCAUUGACUUGGAUUCGGUUGUGCGCAUGGGCUGGGAACCUUACGGUGUUGUCUGAUGCGUCGUCGGAGCCGGGGUUUUGGUCGGCCGAGGCCAGGUAUGAGCGGCCCCUGAGCAGGAUGGGUGGAUGGAUCUAUGGAUAGAUGGAUGUAUGCAUGCAUAUAUGUAUGUAUGGAUAGGGGUCCAACCUCCUUUUCCUUUUUGGAAUAAAGAGAGGGGCGAUGCCGAUGAUGUUGACUGUGGUUGAAAUAAUAUGUCUUCUUUCGCAAAAAAAAAAGAAAGAAAAAAAAAUCAUGUCUUAGCAAUCAAGACAGCCUGGCGAGGUGGGACUAAACAGUGCCAGAAAAUUGGUGUCUGCGGUGGAGUUGGCCUUAGAGCCCACCCUUACCUCUGUUGCAGCCUGUCCAAUUCAUCGCGGAUGUUGGAUGUUCUGUGCCUUGGACGGUCGUUCUGAUGAGUGAUAACCAGGGCAGUUCUCUUACACUGCGAUGGGUAGAUUAUGCAGCAAGAGAUGUGAGUGUUGGGUUUCAAGAUGAAAUGCAAAACUGAGCCCUCUUUUGCUCAGUUCAGUUGCAUUUUGUUUUGGAUUCGGUAUGAAUCCUCCUCACCUCUCUCUCUCUCUCUCUCUCUCUCUCUCGCCCUAAACAAACCAGUCAAGCUCUCAUUGCCGGCUUGCUACCCCAUCGUCCGGGUGGCUGCCACGUCAGUUCCCCGUCUCUACGGUGCUGCCAGCCACUGCCAUUUCAUUGCGCCUUGGAUUUGGUUGUGGCGUGGGCUGGGAACCGUAAGGCGUUGUUUGAUGCGUCGUCCACACUGGGAGGUUUGGUCAGCUGACGCCAGGUAUGAGCAGCUCCUGAGACUGAGACUAGUCAUAGUGGGAGUAACUAAGGUUUUAGUUCUAAUUGAACUAAAACCACGACAGUAAUUAUGGAACGGAGGGAGUAGUAACAUGCAUGCCACAUAGGCAAAAAAGAUUAUGUGACAAGUAAUUAAAGAGGAUGGAUGUGUGCAUGCCUGUAAUGGAUAUCAUGGAUGCGACAAGUUACUUACCACUAUGACCAGCCUAAUGGAUGGAUGAUGUAUGCUUGCUACUGUGUGAUGAAGAGAUGGAGUUCUUACCAGGGGCGAUGAUGAUGACCGUGGCUGAAAUAAGCGUGUCUUGAGCAAUUAAGACAGCUGUGGCCUGUGGGUCCUAAAUUAGAGCGCACCCUUACCUCUCUUGCGGCCUGUUCAAUUCAUUGCUAAUGUUGGUUGUUCUGUGCCUUGGACGGUCAUUCUGAUGAAUGAUAACCAGGACAGUUCUUUACAUUGCGAUGGGUAGAUUAUGCAGCAAGAGAUGUGAGUGUUGGGCUUGAAGAUCAAAGGCAAAACUGAGCCCUCUUUUGCUACGCUACAAAUAUUCGAUUUUACCUUCUCUACUAUGCACUGUUUUUUCUUUUCUAUUCCUCUCUAUUGUGUUGAUGUGAGUAAUGGCCCAUCUGGACUUGGAUUGAUGUCUUCUCUUGGUGAUGAAGCCAACCGCCCUAGCUUGGAUUGAUUUCAGCUGGCUUUGUUUUUGCCUGUAUAGUUGUACAAACUAUAUAUGUCGAACACACUAUUGUUUUUGACUUGGAUUUCUACCUUAUGUUUUUCUUCUUUUCCAAAAUGGAAAAUUUAUAUUGUCCUGUUUUUAUUUGGCUUGCAGUUACUCCUUUUUUUAUCUGAAGUGAACAAAUGUAAAUUGCUUCUUUCAUUGCUAGUAAUACGGCCGUCAGAAUAUUGUUCCAAAUUAACUUCUGAACUUAGCAUAUUUGUUUCUGUUGUGUGUUGAUGAGUUCUAUUCUUUUCUGAAUGGCUAUGAUGAUUUCCUCCUCUUGGGUGUUGGAGAUCUUUCAACAUAUCCUGAGAUAGAUAUGAUUGGUUCCAUUCAACUUUUCCCAGUUAGACAGUUAGUCGUUAUACUAGGAGGCCUUGCUCUGCAGCAAGUUACCAGUUGUGGCUAUUUGUUGCUGGGCGGGGAAAGAGAGAGAGAGAGAUGAUGGUAAGGAGAGACCUGAAGGGCUGGAAUAUCACCAAAGAACUAGCCAUGGGCAGGGGUGCACGGAAAUUAGCUAUCGACGUGCCUACCCCAACUUGUUUGGGACUGAAAGGCUUUGUUGUUGUUGUUGUUGUUGUUUGGUACCCAAAGGCUUUGAGUACUACCUGAAGCAUUUUCCAACUUUGGUGAUAUAUAGUGGGUUAAAUCUGAGCCAUUCAAGUAAUACUACAAUUUUUUUUUCUGGAUUUUGCGAACUAAUCGUGCAUGUGUUUGUUAUGACACCUGUGUCUGAUACUUCUACUACUGUUUGAUUAUAGUAAUUUGAUCAGUGAGUACCUUUGGAAUAUACUUCAGAAAACAGCUUGAUUUUCCCUAAUAACUUUCUUUGUUUCUUCUUGAUUUUAAGCAUACCUGUUUGGCAACUGUGAAUGGUCAUGGGCUCAUUGCGAAAAUUAAGCUGUAUAUAUUCUGUACAUUGUGGGCCUGUAGCUUGAAAAAGAAACCUGGCAUUACCUAUGGCUUUGGUUCUUUGUUAUGGCUCUGGUUCUUUGUGUGGAUCUUCUGGGAAGGUGAGAUGGUGUGAAUUUUUUUUAUUGAAAUAAUUUAAAAGCAGAUUCUUAUUGAUGCUAUCUUUCAGUUUUUUUGGUCCUAUUUUCUCACCCACUGUCGAAUUUUCUUCUAUUGAUAUUUGCCACUGUAGUCCUCCUUAACUUCCACUAUGAAUGCAUGCCAUCCCUAUGUCCUUAUAAAGCUUCAUCUGUGAGGGAGAGGCAUCAAUGAGGAAGGAUGCUGGUGGUGACGCCUGCCGUCUCCCUAUCAAUUUGACUUAAUAAUUUCAUUCUUCUGCUGUAUUCUACUUAUCAGUUUGUACUUUUGGUUUCUCGUUACUUCUUUACUGGUUUCAAGUUUCAACUUAAGGGUCGUAUAUGGCAUGUUAAGAUUACAGUUUUCUUUGUGUCAUGUUCAUGAAUGGCUGUGAUGAUAUAGCUUCCCUGCGAGAGCUUCUAUCUAACACCUGAAUUGAUUCACUUGGUGCUAAACUAGGAUGGCUUGUGUCACAGCAAGUAACCAGUUCAGCAGCUAACUAGUACUCCCUCCGUUCACAAAUAUAGUUCAUGGUGAUUCUACCAGAAAUUCAGUUAUGGUGUCGAGAUGGAGGUAUAUCUGAGCCAUUUACUUACACAUGUCCCAGUUUUUGUGUCCACCAGUUCAUGAUUUGUUCCUGGUAUAGUGAUUCUUCCUGCUAUUACUGAUUCUCCUGUUCUUUCUGGUAAUUUGUGGCUCUUUGACUAUUGGCUUCUCUGUUAUUCUCUUUGUGGGAUUUGUGCUAAGUGCUGUUGAUGGCGAUGACGAGGAAGGCUCAUUCAGAGGUGUACUGAGAUCAGAUACCAUCGCCUGUUUGCAUGGUAUGGGUUAGGGUUAGG
rnacentral:lncRNA from 1 species